UCGAACGCGAAAGUCCCCUUCGGGGGACGAAGUAGAGUGGCGCACGGGUGAGUAACACGUAGGUAAUCUACCUUCGGGUGGGGAAUAACCCAGGGAAACUUGGGCUAACACCGCAUAAUGCAGCGGCACCACAUGGUGACAGUUGUUAAAGCGGGGGAUUUUAGGACCUCGCGCCUGAAGAGGAGCCUGCGGCAGAUUAGCUUGUUGGUAAGGUAACGGCUUACCAAGGCGACGAUCUGUAGCCGGCCUGAGAGGGCGGUCGGCCACACUGACACUGACAUACGGGUCAGACUCCUACGGGAGGCAGCAGUCGGGAAUUUUGGGCAAUGGGCGAAAGCCUGACCCAGCAACGCCGCGUGAAGGAUGAAAUCCCUCGGGAUGUAAACUUCGCAAGAAUAGGAAGAAUUAGUAGGGGUUAAUACCCCCUAUGAUGACGGUACUAUUUGUAAGCUCCGGCUAACUCCGUGCCAGCAGCCGCGGUAAUACGGGGGGAGCAAGCGUUGUUCGGAUUUACUGGGCGUAAAGGGCGCGUAGGCGGCCAGCACAAGUCGGUUGUGAAAUCUCCGGGCUUAACUCGGAAAGGUCAACCGAUACUGUGCGGCUAGAGUGCGGAAGGGGCAACUGGAAUUCUCGGUGUAGCGGUGAAAUGCGUAGAUAUCGAGAGGAACACUGCGGCGAAGGGCGGGUUGCUGGGCCGACACUGACGCUGAUGCGCGAAAGCCAGGGGAGCGAACGGGAUUAGAUACCCCGGUAGUCCUGGCCUUAACGAUGGAUGCUGGGUGUCUGGAGUU
rnacentral:rRNA from 1 species